rnacentral:rRNA from 1 species
UACGUAGGGGGCAAGCGUUGUCCGGAAUUACUGGGCGUAAAGAGCUCGUAGGUGGUUUGUCGCGUUGUUCGUGAAAACCGGGGGCUUAACUCUCGGCGUGCGGGCGAUACGGGCAGACUGGAGUACUGCAGGGGAGACUGGAAUUCCUGGUGUAGCGGUGGAAUGCGCAGAUAUCAGGAGGAACACCGGUGGCGAAGGCGGGUCUCUGGGCAGUAACUGACGCUGAGGAGCGAAAGCGUGGGGAGCGAACAGG